UGUGAAUGAAAAAAGAAGAAAAAGAAAAGUAAUGAAACAAGAGUGGAUCAAGGAGCACCCAGAUCGCAUUGAUGAAAAAGUCUAAGCCUUUCAAUGGCCGAAAACAACAAUUUUGAUGAUAAUGUUGUUACCUUAUGAUAAUAGCAGCAGGUUGGGUUGUGCACAUAAAAGAACAAGGUUUGUUUGAUCUAUUUUGAGGUGGCACUGUAUUUUCCUUUGAGGUUCAACUUGUGUCUUCCCUUGUUGACAACCUUUUCAACUUUGGAUUUUUAAGAAUGAAUACAAGGCAUGAGAUGCAAUGAGAGAGAGAGAGAGAAAGAGAAGACAAGAGAGAGAGGCGGCAGAG
rnacentral:lncRNA from 1 species